GGGGGGGGGGGGGGGGGGGGGGGUGCGUGGAGGGCGAGGGAACAGACGGGGAGGUUGCUCCUCUGGCGUUAGCGGCGGACGGGUGAGUAACACGUGGAUAACCUACCUAUAAGACUGGGGUAACUUCGGGAAACCGGAGCUAAUACCGGAUAAUAUAUUGAACCGCAUGGUUCAAUAGUGAAAGACGGUUUUGCUGUCACUUAUAGAUGGAUCCGCGCCGCAUUAGCUAGUUGGUAAGGUAACGGCUUACCAAGGCGACGAUGCGUAGCCGACCUGAGAGGGUGAUCGGCCACACUGGAACUGAGACACGGUCCAGACUCCUACGGGAGGCAGCAGUAGGGAAUCUUCCGCAAUGGGCGAAAGCCUGACGGAGCAACGCCGCGUGAGUGAUGAAGGUCUUCGGAUCGUAAAACUCUGUUAUUAGGGAAGAACAAAUGUGUAAGUAACUAUGCACGUCUUGACGGUACCUAAUCAGAAAGCCACGGCUAACUACGUG
rnacentral:rRNA from 1 species